CACGUAGGGGACGAGCGUUGUCCGGAUUCAUUGGGCGUAAAGCGCGCGUAGGCGGCUCGGAAAGUCGGUCGUGAAAUGCCGGGGCUCAACCCCGGGACUGCGUCCGAUACUCUCGAGCUGGAGGCAGGUAGGGGAGAUCGGAAUUCCUGGUGUAGCGGUGAAAUGCGCAGAUAUCAGGAGGAACACCGGUGGCGAAGGCGGGUCUCUGGGCCGAUACUGACGCUGAGGAGCGAAAGCGUGGGGAGCGAACAGG
rnacentral:rRNA from 1 species